GGGGGAUUAGUGGCGAACGGGUGAGUAACACGUGAGUAACCUGCCCUUAACUCUGGGAUAAGCCUGGGAAACUGGGUCUAAUACCGGAUAUGACUCCUCAUCGCAUGGUGGGGGGUGGAAAGCUUUUUGUGGUUUUGGAUGGACUCGCGGCCUAUCAGCUUGUUGGUGAGGUAAUGGCUUACCAAGGCGACGACGGGUAGCCGGCCUGAGAGGGUGACCGGCCACACUGGGACUGAGACACGGCCCAGACUCCUACGGGAGGCAGCAGUGGGGAAUAUUGCACAAUGGGCGCAAGCCUGAUGCAGCGACGCCGCGUGAGGGAUGACGGCCUUCGGGUUGUAAACCUCUUUCAGUAGGGAAGAAGCGAAAGUGACGGUACCUGCAGAAGAAGCGCCGGCUAACUACGUGCCAGCAGCCGCGGUAAUACGUAGGGCGCAAGCGUUAUCCGGAAUUAUUGGGCGUAAAGAGCUCGUAGGCGGUUUGUCGCGUCUGCCGUGAAAGUCCGGGGCUCAACUCCGGAUCUGCGGUGGGUACGGGCAGACUAGAGUGAUGUAGGGGAGACUGGAAUUCCUGGUGUAGCGGUGAAAUGCGCAGAUAUCAGGAGGAACACCGAUGGCGAAGGCAGGUCUCUGGGCAUUAACUGACGCUGAGGAGCGAAAGCAUGGGGAGCGAACAGGAUUAGAUACCCUGGUAGUCCAUGCCGUAAACGUUGGGCACUAGGUGUGGGGGACA
rnacentral:rRNA from 1 species